GUCCGCCUGGCCCAAUGGAUAGGGCGUCGGACUUCGAAUCAGAAGAUUACAGGUUCGAGUCUUGUCGCGGACG
rnacentral:tRNA from 13 species